rnacentral:rRNA from 1 species
UGGGGAAUAUUGGACAAUGGGGGCAACCCUGAUCCAGCCAUGCCGCGUGUCUGAAGAAGGCCUUCGGGUCGUAAAGGACUUUUGCCGGGGAAGAAAAGGCGGGGCGGACAAUGCCCCGCCGUUGACCGCCCGGAGAAUAAGCGCCGGCUAACCACGUGCCAGCAGCCGCGGUAAUACGUGGGGCGCGAGCGUUAAUCGGAAUGACUGGGCGUAAAGGGCGCGCAGGCGGUUUGUCAAGCCGGACGUGAAAUCCCGGGGCUCAACCCCGGAAUUGCGUUUGGAACUGGCAGGCUGGAGCGCGGCAGAGGAGGGUGGAAUUCCGCGUGUAGCGGUGGAAUGCGUAGAGAUGCGGAAGAACACCGAUGGCGAAGGCAGCCCUCUGGGCCGCAGCUGACGCUGAGGCGCGAAAGCGUGGGGAGCGAACAGG